UCCAUCAUGAAAUGCAUUUCGUCCACAGAAUGCAAUAUGGUAGAUCAUGAAAUGAAUUUCGUCAAUCACAGAAUGCAUUUCGUCCAUCACGAAAUGCAUUUCGUCCAUCACGAAAUGAAUUUCGUCCAUCACAAAAUGCAUUUUGUGCACAGAAUGCAGUAUGGUAGAUCACGAAAUGCAUUUCGUCCAUCACAGAAUGCAUUUCGUCCAUCACAAAAUGCAUUUCGUUGGACGAAAUGCAUUUCGUGAUGGACGAAAUGCAUUUCGUCUGACGAAAUGCAUUUUGUGAUGGACGAAAUGCAUUUCUUCCGACGAAAUGCAUUUUGUGAUGGACGAAAUGCAUUCUGUGAUGGACGAAAUGCAUUUCGUGAUCUAUCAUAAUGCAUUCGUCCGGCGAAAUGCAUUU